UGCCAUACAUUAUGCCAUGCUGGGUUUC
rnacentral:piRNA from 1 species